rnacentral:ncRNA from 1 species
CGGCGAUGGCGCUCCUGGCCUUAAUGCCGGGUCGUGCCUCACGGCGCUUUACUUUCGAAGAAAAUAGAGUGCCAAAGCAAGCCACGCUCUGUAUACAUUAGCAUGGGAUAAUCAUUAUAGAUUUCGGUCCUUUACGUUGGCCAUUCGGGAUGCGGUAGUAAUGAUUAACAGGGAAGUCGGGGCCAUUCGUAUUCAUAUGUCAGAGCGUGAAAUUCUUGGAUUUAGUGAAAGGCACGCAACAACUGCGAAAAGCAGUUUGCCAAGAUUUUUUCAUUAAUGCAAGGAGAAGAAAGUGGGAGGGCUGAGACGAUCAGAGUACGUCCUGAAGUUUCUCAACCAGAAACGAUGCCACCGAGGGAUCGGCGUGUGUUUGCUUUUAGGACUCCGCCGCACCUUAUUGAGAAAAUCAAAGUCUUUGGUUCCGGGGGGGAGUAUGGUCGCAAUGCUGAAACUUAAGGAAUUGACGGAAAGGGCACCACCAGGAUGGAGCCUGCGGGUUAAUUUGACUCAUCACGGGAAACUUACCAGGUCAGACAUAGUAAGGAUUGACAGCACUGAGAGCUCUUCGAAGAUUCUUCAUUGUGGUGUCGUGCAUGGCCGUUCUUAGUGGUGGCAGCGAUUGUCUUGGUUAAUUCCAGAGGUAACGAACGAGACCUCAGCUUGCUAACUAGCCUAUCGGAUGGUAUCCCUCCGCGGCCAGCGUCUUAAGGGACUACGGCCUUUUCCAGCCGCGAGUUGAGGCAAUAAUGCCGGUAUGUGAUGCCUUAUAUGUUCUGGGGCCGCACGCGCCGCUACACUAUGUUAGUUCAACGAGCAUAUAGCCUUGGCCGACAGGCCCGGGUAAUCUUUGAAAUUUUCAUCGUGAUGGACGAAGAUCAUUGCAAUGUUGUCUUCAACGAGGAAUUGCUAGUAAUGCAGCGACGUCUCAGCUCGCGUGAUCUACGUUCCGCUGCCCUUGUACAUCACCGCCCCGUCGCUCUACCAGAUUGAAUGAUCGGAAGUGUUCUGCGAUCGCGGCACCAGUGGGCGUUCGCUGCCGCCGACGUCGCGAGAAGUCCACUGAACCUUUCAUUUAGAGGAAGGCAGAAGUCGUACGAAAGGUUUCCGUAGUUGAAACCUGCGCGAGAUCAUGU